ACUGGGUUGAUAGGCCAGAUAUGGAAGCACCGUAAGGUGUGGAGUUGACUGGUACUAAUAGGCCGAGGGCUUGUCCUCAGUUG
rnacentral:rRNA from 1 species